UACGGAGGGUGCAAGCGUUAUCCGGAUUUACUGGGUUUAAAGGGUGCGUAGGCGGACUUUUAAGUCAGUGGUGAAAGCUCCGAGCUUAACUCGGAAACUGCCAUUGAUACUAUUAGUCUUGAAUUCGGUUGAGGUUGGCGGAAUGUGUCGUGUAGCGGUGAAAUGCUUAGAUAUGACACAGAACACCGAUUGCGAAGGCAGCUAGCUAAACUGACAUUGACGCUGAGGCACGAAAGCGUGGGGAUCAAACAGG
rnacentral:rRNA from 1 species